CAAUAGCGGAGGAAAAGAAACCAACCGGGAUUGCCUUAGUAACGGCGAGUGAAGCGGCAAAAGCUCAAAUUUGAAAUCUGGUACCUUCGGUGCCCGAGUUGUAAUUUGGAGAGGGCAACUUUGGGGCCGUUCCUUGUCUAUGUUCCUUGGAACAGGACGUCAUAGAGGGUGAGAAUCCCGUGUGGCGAGGAGUGCGGUUCUUUGUAAAGUGCCUUCGAAGAGUCGAGUUGUUUGGGAAUGCAGCUCUAAGUGGGUGGUAAAUUCCAUCUAAAGCUAAAUAUUGGCGAGAGACCGAUAGCGAACAAGUACAGUGAUGGAAAGAUGAAAAGAACUUUGAAAAGAGAGUGAAAAAGUACGUGAAAUUGUUGAAAGGGAAGGGCAUUUGAUCAGACAUGGUGUUUUGUGCCCUCUGCUCCUUGUGGGUAGGGGAAUCUCGCAUUUCACUGGGCCAGCAUCAGUUUUGGUGGCAGGAUAAAUCCAUAGGAAUGUAGCUUGCCUCGGUAAGUAUUAUAGCCUGUGGGAAUACUGCCAGCUGGGACUGAGGACUGCGACGUAAGUCAAGGAUGCUGGCAUAAUGGGUAUAUGCCGCCCGUCUUGAACACGGACC
rnacentral:rRNA from 1 species